AGAAGAAGAGGACGGUGGACUUGCUAGACGAAGGAGGGCGCGCGUGGAAUAAUUUGGAAGGCAUUGUUUGGGUGGUUUAGUUAGUUAUUGUAAAGACUUGCUCAUUCUUCAUUACACGGAAGACACUGCCGUGUAUUCACUGGGGAAAACAAAGAGGAAGGAAGUUGAGUUAGUUGAUGCCAAUAUUCUGGAGGAAGAUUCGACAAUUUCGGAGAAUCCAUUGGUUGAAGACAAAGAAUGGAAGGAAGAAAUGGCAUGUUGUGAUGAGUUCCAAUUGUUGGAAUCCCUCUGUUCAUCUUAUAUUUGGUUACAAUCGAAGAUAAAGAUAGAACAAAUAAUAAAUAUAUCAUCAUAUAACUAAAUAUUCAAACUAGACGUACUUAAUUUU